rnacentral:rRNA from 1 species
AGCGAACGCUGGCGGCAGGCCUAACACAUGCAAGUCGAACGGAUCCUUCGGGAUUAGUGGCGGACGGGUGAGUAACACGUGGGAACGUGCCUUUUGGUUCGGAACAACUCAGGGAAACUUGAGCUAAUACCGGAUGUGCCCUUCGGGGGAAAGAUUUAUCGCCAUUAGAGCGGCCCGCGUCUGAUUAGCUUGUUGGUGAGGUAAAGGCUCACCAAGGCUACGAUCAGUAGCUGGUCUGAGAGGAUGAUCAGCCACACUGGGACUGAGACACGGCCCAGACUCCUACGGGAGGCAGCAGUGGGGAAUCUUGCGCAAUGGGCGAAAGCCUGACGCAGCCAUGCCGCGUGAAUGAUGAAGGUCUUAGGAUUGUAAAAUUCUUUCACCGGGGACGAUAAUGACGGUACCCGGAGAAGAAGCUCCGGCUAACUUCGUGCCAGCAGCCGCCGUAAGAC